CCGGAGCCCGCGUGCCGCCGCGCGGACAUGCUCAGGUCAGUCAUCCUUCUCCGUUGGGGAAUGAGUCGCUGGUGGUACCGCCGCCCGCUCCCGGGACCCCUAUCACCGGGCUGUGUGUGGGCAGCAGCCGCGCGAGGUCUCCCUGGCGGAGAAGUGGGGCAGAGUGGACCCCUGAGGCGGACUGGACCCGCUCCGGCCGUGCGGGUCUGCGCUGCCCCCGGGCGGGGCUGCCCCUCCGCGUCCGCGGGCCGGAAGGUUUUAGAUCCCACGUCUCAGUGUCCUCCUCAGUCACGCCUCUGACUCUGGGGUGUCGACAGACGUGCGCUCGCUCCUGCCCGUAUCUGCUGCGCCCUCGCCCCUGCACGCCCUUUCAGGCCCGUAUCUGCUGCGCCCUCGCCCCUGCACGCCCUUUCGGGGCGGCGGAGUUGACAGGAAACCCACACGGCCAUACGGGAGGAUGCCCCAUGGCGAGGUCAUCCUGGUGCACACUAGAGUAGCAAGGCAGUGAAACAUUUCCCGCUCAACUAAUUAAAUAAUCACGGGGCUGGUAUCGAUAGUGAAGCUUCUUAGUUGAAUUUGGUUUUGACCCCAUUAAUUUUCCUUCUUUCUGUCGUCAUCGAACGGUCACGUGUUUUCAUAAAAACAACUAUUUUCUUGUACUUCCACCCCAACUCAAAGGACAGGUGCCUGAAUUUAAAACACAGGGCUUGCAGGCUGCUCGUGGCAGGCUCCGUUUUGUGGACCGUUUUUCAGAAAUGCUGGAAUCAGUUGCUAGCUUAGCAAAGCUGGGAGACAUCACCCAGGUUCACAUCUGGCGUCCUUGAACAAACCUGAUGGGCCAGCAACAUCUGUUCUUUCCAUGGCAGCGGUCAGGAGCCCUGGAAAGGAGCAGCCCAGCUUCCACGCUUCGUCCCGGUGUAUCUCCCAUGGCCGUAAAUCUGUGGCAGUGUUAUGUAACUGAAUGUGGCAGUGAAAACAUGACGAGGGUGAUGGUGCCAGAAGCAGAGGCAGUUUCUCUUUUGAGAAUGUACUUGAAAACUGAGGGUGGUACCUAGAUUUCCCCAGGCUGCGUCACCUACUUAUUAUGUGUUAUCCAUCCUUUUUUUUUUUUUUUAAGUAAAAAGUUUUAUGUACUUUCACUUUAUUUUGAAAGGCAGAGAGAGGCAGGUCUAUCAUUCUGGGUUCACCGCUCCAAUGUCCACAACAGCCAGAGUUGGAACAGACUGAUGCCAGGAACCUGGCACUUCAUCGGGGUCUCCCCUAUGGCGGCCAGCACCACUUGCUUGAGCCAUCACCUGCUGCCUCCCAGGGUGUGCAUCAGCGGGACCGGUAAUGGAGUUAGGACUUGAACCACACUCAUUAUGGGAUGCAAGCAACCCAAGCAGCAGCUUCAUACCUGUGCCCGGUGCCUGUCCCUGACCCACCCUUUAUCAGCAGCAUUCCUUUUCAGAAGGACGCCCACUGCAGCAAAGGGCCUAAAAAUGUCUUCAAAAUCAGGUUGUGAUUGAUAGAAUAAGCACCCUCUCUGAAGCAAUGUCAGACACUUAGUGGCAAAAUUGAGGUUUGUUUUGGUGCAGAGAAAUGUGCAGUUCCUAAUCGGCAUUUGUGUGACCUUGAAGACCCUUUGCACGAGGUUCCCUAACUCACUGCAUAGAGCAGAACUGCUUGUGCAGGAAAAUUAGCCAUGCCAUCAGCUUUUCAGAUCUGUAACACUGCACGUUCCGCCCCUAGCACGUGCGCAUGGGCUCCUACUGUGAGUGAUGGGGGAGGAACUUCAGGUCCCUCACCCAGGUGGGACCGGCGUACACUGGGCACUGAAAGAUGAGCUGCUUGUCCCUCACUGCAUCUGAGGCCCCAGCACCAGAGUGGAAUGUCCACAGAAGUGACAAACAAGUCCCGGUGUGGGCGGGACCCUGCUGCUUUCAUAGAGACACACUUAGGUAAGUGUGCUUUGUGCGACACAGUCACUGCAAGGGGAGGCCUGGCAUGGCCACUGCAGUGCCUUGUCCUCUUGUUCACCACGCACUCACACCCGCUCUGCACUACCUCUGUCUUCUCACGCAGCAGGCCAGGAAAUGACGGUUCCUGAGCACAGAGCUCUCAGCACAAGCCUUGCCCUGUCCAGGUGCGGGUCCGGAAGAGGCUGCUUACCCGCUGGUGUGUCUACUGGGUUCCGGUGUUCCUCCCCAAGGCCUGGCAGCUUCUCUCAGACCCCUGUGCCUUAAGUCCUAUUUCCCAUCCACUAGCUGGGCUGGUGGACACGCAGGGGUCUUACGGAGGCCUGUCAGCCUGUAGCAGGACUGCACCAUGCACCACGGCUGGAAGGAGAUGCAGAAUGGGUGUGAUGUGGACACGCAUACAAAGAUCUGCAUUCUGAAAGAGGGUCUGUUAUUUAUUAAAUGUUUAUUAAAUACCUCCCUGGAGGUCCUGGGUGCCACGGGGCCCUUCAGUUAGGACGGAGCUACAGAAGCAAGAAUGGCACAAAUGAAGAUGUCGGCUCAUUCGUUCCAAUCCAACAUGGCCUCCCUUGAACUAGAACCUCCUGUGAACGCGAAGCACCCAGUGGCACAGCAUCCUCUAAUGUAAGGAAAACACGCCCAGAACUGCUGUGAAGGCCAGCACGUCCGUGUGAAGGCAGGGGUCACAGGAACGGCCCCUCCAGGUAAGGGGUCUGCGAGUCCUCAGCUGCCUGCUGAGCCCACCCCGGGGAGCACACGAAGCACACGGCUUCUGCUCGGCCUCGCCACACGUGCAGCGUGUGGGGGGCCUUGCUUUUACAUCUGUACAGUUACAUUGCUGGACCCAUAAAUAACACUCGUAAGAUUAACAGGGCCAUAGUUAAGAGUAUUUACACAGCCCCACCAUGCAUACAGAGCCUGUUUAAUAUUGAAAAAGCAAAAAACCAAAAA